rnacentral:sRNA from 1 species
UUUCAUUUAUACGAUCUAGGUUAUAAACUUAAACUAAGUUUUGAGGAUUGAUAAUUUGAUUAUAAUUUUACGAUUUUUGCUUUCAAAGUAUCUUAAAUUAAAUCCUGUUAAAUUAAAAAUCAAAUAUUUAGUGGUGUGCUCCUCCACCUUACACCAUCAUCAAGUCCUUUUUUCAGUGAAAGAUGGUUUUGAUUAAUGCUAACUGCUAACUGUUUCCCCUUACACCAUCAUUCAGUUGUAUUCUUUUUACAUGUUAGGUCUAAAAAUAGUGGAAUGUGGUAUUAAAAAUAAAAAUAAUGAGUUAAUCACAACAAAACCAUUAUUGGGCAUACGAUAUAUAUUUUCUUUGCUCAAAAAGAAAAUGAAAAUUGAACUAU